rnacentral:misc_RNA from 1 species
AACCUAGCACACCUGCGGUGUGUACCUGCGGAGGGAUCAUUAACCUUUCAAAUCAGGGUGCGGCGCGGCCCCCGAGGAGCGGAAACAAUCCUUGGGAGGUAUGCGGGGGCUUCGAGCCCCCCAUUUACGCACGCACGACUGCCAUCCUUACUUUACGAGCGCCUUCUGUUCUCCCUCGGCGGGGCAACCUGCCGUUGGAACCGAAUAAACUCUUUUUGCAUCUAGCAUUACCUGUUCCGA